rnacentral:rRNA from 1 species
UACGUAGGGGGCAAGCGUUGUCCGGAAUCAUUGGGCGUAAAGAGCGUGUAGGCGGUCCGGUAAGUCGGUUGUGAAAGUCCAGGGCUCAACCCUGGGAUGCCGACCGAUACUGUCGGACUAGAGUUCGGAAGAGGCGAGUGGAAUUCCCGGUGUAGCGGUGAAAUGCGCAGAUAUCGGGAGGAACACCUAUGGCGAAGGCAGCUCGCUGGGACGUUACUGACGCUGAGGAGCGAAAGCGUGGGGAGCGAACAGG